rnacentral:rRNA from 1 species
CUCGUAGGCGGUUCGUCGCGUCCGGUGUGAAAGUCCAUCGCCUAACGGUGGAUCUGCGCCGGGUACGGGCGGGCUGGAGUGCGGUAGGGGAGACUGGAAUUCCCGGUGUAACGGUGGAAUGUGUAGAUAUCGGGAAGAACACCAAUGGCGAAGGCAGGUCUCUAGGCCGUUACUGACGCUGGGGAGCGAAAGCGUGGGGAGCGAACA